GGACCCCGGUUGCAUACAGCGUCUUGCUGGAAUGGAAGUAUACUCGAUCAAAGUAUGUGCGCUAGCUUGCAGCCCACUGCUCUACCAUAAGAACUCCUUCCAACGGUCGAAGGUUGCAGCAUUGGACCAUGAUAUACAAACGCCAAUCUGAACGGCGACUUAUAGAAUAUGCCGGCAUACGUGUAGGGUGGCACCUGCUCAGCUCCUCGAAGAGCAACUUCCCAAUGUGGCCUGCCCAACCGCCCAAGGUUGGUCGUGUUUCCAAGGAAACAUGGAAAGGUGCAUACUUAGUUCACUACGCUAUCAUCAAGCAGGGAUUCCGCGACGGGUCUAACUUGACGGCAUGCGCAACACACGCAGGGAAAUGAUAAUCACUGUGGCCUUGGCCUGCGAAUUUAUGUGUCGGGACUGCUGCUCCUUGUCCUAAGCUCCAUAGGAACAAAUGAUCUGCAAUUGAUAGGUUCGGAUGUCACUUGUGGUGCAUGUGCAAUAUUUCAUACGCAGAUCACGCAUAUAUACAGCAUAACAUCUACUUCACGUUAAGUGGCGCCAACCCGGCCCCUCUCGUUACCAGCUCGCGCCCGAACUGUCAUUUCAAACUAUGAAUUCCCAUCCUGCACCGGGUUUGAACUCCGAAAUUCUCAUUGCGGCUAGAUGAAGAGGCAGGCCACCUCAAAGCCAGCUCGGCCCUCUUCUCCCGCUCCCCCACUGCACCAGCUUCACUACUCCACCCAAACUGCACCAGCUUCACUACUCCACCCAAACGAGGGAUAAUCCAAUGGGAGUUUCUCUCACAUCACCUAACCAUCACCUUAAUGCUAUCAUGCACCAGGGAACCGUCCGGAUAAACAGCAACAAAUUCCAUGUAUUGUCACAAGGGCAAAGAAGUCACCGACUGAGGCUAGCUAAAAAAAGGCCGUGCUGGGUCUACAGCAUUCCACAUCGUGUAUUUAAACAGUUCCGUCGUAUACAGCAUCCUUCAAGGAUUGUUGAAGAAACCCGUCGUUAACAGCAGCUGCUCUACCUCAGCAGCCGAACUACAUGCUUCCAGUUCCGGCCCCAAUCGCCGUGUGGCACCAGAGUGACUCCAAGCCAGUAACGUAGGGACCCCAGUCAGACGGAGCUUUGGAUCCACCCUGUGUACGGCAGCGGCACAAGAAGCGCCCCGCGAGGAUGCGAGGGACCCGG
rnacentral:lncRNA from 1 species